rnacentral:rRNA from 1 species
UACGUAGGGUGCAAGCGUUAAUCGGAAUUACUGGGCGUAAAGCGUGCGCAGGCGGCUCCUUAAGUCAGAUGUGAAAGCCCCGGGCUUAACUUGGGAACUGCGUUUGAAACUGGGGGGCUAGAGUGUGGAAGAGGGGGGUGGAAUUCCAGGUGUAGCAGUGAAAUGCGUAGAGAUCUGGAGGAACACCGAUGGCGAAGGCAGCCCCCUGGGCUAACACUGACGCUCAUGCACGAAAGCGUGGGGAGCAAACAGG